AAAGGAAUUGACGGGGGCCCGCACAAGCGGUGGAGUAUGUGGUUUAAUUCGACGCAACGCGAAGAACCUUACCAGGGCUUGACAUCCUCUGAAGGGUGUAGAGAUACAUCUAUUAAUCUUCGGAUUAACAGAGAGACAGGUGGUGCAUGGUUGUCGUCAGCUCGUGUCGUGAGAUGUUGGGUUAAGUCCCGCAACGAGCGCAACCCUUAUUUCUAGUUGCCAGCAUGUAAGAUGGGCACUCUAGAGAGACUGCCGGUGACAAACCGGAGGAAGGUGGGGAUGACGUCAAAUCAUCAUGCCCUUUAUGUCCUGGGCUACACACGUACUACAAUGGCCUGUACAAAGGGUUGCGAAGCCGCGAGGUGAAGCUAAUCCCAAAAAGCAGGUCUCAGUUCGGAUUGCAGGCUGCAACUCGCCUGCAUGAAGUCGGAAUCGCUAGUAAUCGCGGAUCAGCAUGCCGCGGUGAAUACGUUCCCGGGCCUUGUACACACCGCCCGU
rnacentral:rRNA from 1 species